UGAACUUAGAUAGGGUCCAUGCAAAUCCAUUGAUCAUUCAGGGCACAAAUUUUUUUAGUGAUGAAGGGAGAAUGUGACCUAGGUUCCAGUUGGUCAAAGCAGUCCUCCAACUUCCUUGGGUUUUUGGUUGAGCUGCAUUUUUAUGGCACAUGCAAAAUAUUCAAGUAUUAGAGCGUGCAUUGUAUUCAUUGGUACUAUAAGAUCCUGUUGGUCAUGAGUAUUUAAAAAAAUUUGACUCCCCUUAUUUUGUUUGCGUG
rnacentral:misc_RNA from 1 species